GAUGAACGCUGGCGGCGUGCCUAAUACAUGCAAGUCGAGCGAACGGACGAGAAGCUUGCUUCUCUGAUGUUAGCGGCGGACGGGUGAGUAACACGUGGAUAACCUACCUAUAAGACUGGGAUAACUUCGGGAAACCGUAGCUAAUACCGGAUAAUAUUUUGAACCGCAUGGUUCAAAAGUGAAAGACGGUCUUGCUGUCACUUAUAGAUGGAUCCGCGCUGCAUUAGCUAGUUGGUAAGGUAACGGCUUACCAAGGCAACGAUGCAUAGCCGACCUGAGAGGGUGAUCGGCCACACUGGAACUGAGACACGGUCCAGACUCCUACGGGAGGCAGCAGUAGGGAAUCUUCCGCAAUGGGCGAAAGCCUGACGGAGCAACGCCGGGUGAGUGAUGAAGGUCUUCGGAUCGUAAAACUCUGUUAUUAGGGAAGAACAUAUGUGUAAGUAACUGUGCACAUCUUGACGGUACCUAAUCAGAAAGCCACGGCUAACUACGUG
rnacentral:rRNA from 1 species